rnacentral:tRNA from 2 species
GCGGGUGUGGCGGAACUGGCAGACGCACUGGAUUUAGGUUCCAGCGCCGCAAGGCGUGGAGGUUCGACUCCUCUCACCCGCA